AUGAACGCUGGCGGCGUGCCUAAUACAUGCAAGUCGAGCGAACGGACGAGAAGCUUGCUUCUCUGAUGUUAGCGGCGGACGGGUGAGUAACACGUGGAUAACCUACCUAUAAGACUGGGAUAACUUCGGGAAACCGGAGCUAAUACCGGAUAAUAUUUUGAACCGCAUGGUUCAAAAGUGAAAGACGGUCUUGCUGUCACUUAUAGGUGGAUCCGCGCUGCAUUAGCUAGUUGGUAAGGUAACGGCUUACCAAGGCAACGAUGCAUAGCCGACCUGAGAGGGUGAUCGGCCACACUGGAACUGAGACACGGUCCAGACUCCUACGGGAGGCAGCAGUAGGGAAUCUUCGGCAAUGGGCGAGAGCCUGACGGAGCAACGCCGCGUGAGUGAUGAAGGUCUUCGGAUCGUAAAACUCUGUUAUUAGGGAAGAACAUAUGUGUAAGUAACUGUGCACAUCUUGACGGUACCUAAUCAGAAAGCCACGGCUAACUACGUG
rnacentral:rRNA from 1 species